UUCGCAAUGCCCGAAAGGGUGACGAAGCGACGCCGCGUGGGUGAAGAAGGCCUUCGGGUUGUAAAGCCCUGUCAGGAGUUAUGAAAUGUAAGUGCGCUAAUAUCGUGCUUAUUUGACAAAGGCUCCAAAGGAAGCCACGGCUAACUCUGUGCCAGCAGCCGCGGUAAUACAGAGGUGGCGAGCGUUGUUCGGAAUUAUUGGGCGUAAAGAGCACGUAGGUGGGUUUGCAAGUCAGAUGUGAAAGCCUUCUGUUCAACGGAAGAAUUGCAUCUGAAACUGCUAAUCUUGAGUAUAGGAGGGGAGAAUGGAACUUCUGGUGGGGCGGUGAAAUGCGUAGAUAUCAGAAGGAACGCCGGCGGCGAAAGCGAUUCUCUGGCCUAUUACUGACACUCAGUGUGCGAAAGCUAGGGGAGCAAACGGGAUUAGAUACCCCGGUAGUCCUAGCCGUAAACGAUGGGCACUAAGUAGA
rnacentral:rRNA from 1 species